rnacentral:lncRNA from 1 species
AAAUGAGAGAGAUGAUGAUUCUAAGGCCACCCUAUCCCAGCCAUAUUAUUCACAUAUCGAGUCCCAACAGUAACAGUGUAGGGAUGAGCACGACAGUGCAGGUGAGCAUGAAGGAUGGACAAUCUUCGGGGAUUUUAGAUUGGGAACACAACAAAACACUAACACUCAGGGAUUUGGGAAUAGUCAGACGCCUGCUAAUAU